GGUUUCUUGGGAUAAAGUAUAUACUAUACAUAAUCAGAAUUUCCGUAUACGUAUUCGAAUCACGUUAUUGAAGGAAAGUCAAUACCAAAUACAGAUCCAAGUUUGUUUAUUUAUAUCAUGGGAAGGUUUAUAUGUUCAUGUAUGAAUGUACUGGUGUAGUGGCGAUCUUGCUUAAGGAAGAUUAUUGUGUUUCAUCAACUGAUCCGGAGAUGAUUUAUUUUGGUUUGACUUAAUUCCAGUUUCGUGGCUGAUGUCUUAUGUGCACGAAGUUGAGAUCAAUUUUUAAAUGUUUUCAACUAACAUCUAUAGUAUUUUUUCAAAAUAACAGGAAAUUGAGAAACAUGUUUUAAACAAAUAUCAAUGUAUAGUUUAUUAUCCCUAGCCUUUGGUGAAAAUGAACUCGUACCAGAGUUAUGUAAUAGUUUCGACUCAUUUACAUGCAUGUACGUAUCCCACCUUCCAAACGUUCCAUAUCACAGUAUUUCCUUGUUCGACUGAUAAUAGCAUGAUGAUAUGAUGAUGUAAGUAAGGGCAAAUAAUGAGUGAUGGUAAUGGAACAAAGAUACGCUGGACGGAUACACCUUGUUAACUUUAAAAGUUGGGUCUCGCUAAUUUGAUAUAUUAUAGCACCACUAUCCUUCUGAUUAAGGUUUCUUUUAAUAAUGGGUGAUUUAAUUAAAUGAAAAAGAAAUAAAUACGCAGUUACUGAUCUUUAAUCUGGCUAUUUGGGAAACGCUGGGGAAUGGGUUUUCAAAUACACGUGUCAGAAAAGAAAAUGAGACUUAUAUUUUAUUUUAUUUUUCUCUUCUCUUUCUUUUUUUCUUCCUUUCUUCUUUCGUGUUCUCCGUCUUCGAAGAGUCUUGUCUUCGUGUUCUCCGCAGGACGACGGUCUGUUCCUCACCGACGAUCCCAUCCUCCGCAUCAAUCUCAUCGCCUUCUUCUGUAACUCUUCUCCGCAUCAAAGGCAUCGCCUUCUUCUGUAGCGUCUUCUCCAGAAUCCCCUUUCUUCGUUCUUCUCUGAUUGAGCUUCUACACGAUGAUCUCGAAGCUUAUCAGUCGCGCUCGUCUCGAAUCUCCAGGAUGAGCCUCCGUCUACUUCUGACUCCGUUGAUAUUACGGCCAAGGAGGAGGUAGAGGAGAUCGAUGUUACAAACGGCGAUGGGAUUGAUUCGAUUGGACUCGUCUCUCUCGUUGAGGCUUUGGUUAACGAAGGGCUCUACAACGUCCACGUCUGUGCUCCUCAGACCUUCGGAGAAUAUGAGCAAUGUCACCGCAGACCUCCCCUCCACCGCCGUCGCACUCCCCGGUUCUACAGCGAAUGAGAGUUCACCUCCGACUGAUCGUCCCGUCUGCGUCUACGCCGAUGAGAUCUACGAUCUUUUCCACUUCGGUCACGCCCGAUCUCUCUCGGACAGGCCAAGAAAUCAUUAGUUUCCAAACACUUACCUUGUUGUGGGAUGUUGCAACGAUGAAACGACACAUAAGUACAAAGGAAAGGAAUGUGAUGACUGCUGAAGAACGAUAUGAAUCACUUCGGCAUUGCAAGUAAUGGCUUUUUCCUAUCUUGUGUUGUUAUAGUAUAAGCAAUGGAUGACCAUAAAUACAGUGUUUGUGUUGAUCAUGUCAAAGUCACGUUGAUGAUGAUCGAUGGUUGAUGAUCAAAGUCAUGCCAUUAAUUUUCAACUUCUAAGUUUUUUUUUUUUAAGAACUCAUACUUAAGAAACUUGCAAUGGAGGAUAAAAAAUUAAGUGUCUUUUAAGUAAAGUUCUUAACACAUA